rnacentral:rRNA from 1 species
AGGUGCGAUCAUACCAGCACUAAUGCAACGGAUCCUAUCAAACUCCAUAGUUAAGCAUUCAUGGGCAAGAGUAGUACUAGGAUAAGUGCCCUCCUGUGAAGUCCUCGUGUUGCACCUC